UACGUAGGGGGCUAGCGUUGUCCGGAUUUAUUGGGCGUAAAGAGCGUGUAGGCGGCCAGGUAGGUCUGGUGUGAAAACUCGAGGCUUAACCUCGAGAUGUCAUCGGAAACCAUCUGGCUAGAGUCCGGAAGAGGAGAGUGGAAUUCCUGGUGUAGCGGUGAAAUGCGUAGAUAUUCGCAAGAACACCAGUGGCGAAGGCGGCUCACUGGUCCGGUACUGACGCUGAGGUGCGAAAGCGCGGGGAGCAAACAGG
rnacentral:rRNA from 1 species